CUCUCAUCAACAUCAAAUCUGAAUCGUUUAGAUUUACCACCAGUGGAAAAUGAUGAUGAAGCCAUUUUCAAAUUUCUCUCUAAUACUUUACCAUUUACCAGGUUAUAAGGUCAAUAGUACUUGCCUUAUAUAUAUUAUGCCUCUUGUCUUUCCCUCUCUCAAAAAGGAUUUGAUACACUGAUGGAAUAUAACAAGAAAACUAUCUAUGGAAAUGGUUUUUGGUGAUAAUCAAGAAGAUGAGGAAACAAAAGAGCAAGAAACAAGAGUGAAAACAAACCAAAGUAAUUUCAUUUAUAAUAAACAACACCAAAAGUAACUGUAAACCCAAACUAUGAUUUUCUUUGAAUAUUCUUUGUUAUUUCAUGAGUAACAGAAUCGUUUCCAUGUUUCGUUUAAUCAACUCAUCGCCAUGUUGAUCAUGAAAUUCAAUUAAUAACCUUUCGUACUUGUCAACUUACACGUUGUUUUGGAAGGUGACAGUUUCAAAAUGAGAGAGAGAGAGAGAUAAGUGAUGAUUGUGUAACUUGUUUACAAUUAAAGCGAGUGAGCAAAUUGUUUCUCGCUUUUUUCGACACUAAUUAAUUUGUACAUCAAUUGAAAGUAAUUCGAAGAUUAAUAUUCUUUCUGGAACUUUUCUGUUUAUGCUCCAUGAAUGGACUCAUCGACCAACAGAAGUUGUAACUUUCGAGUUGAAACUUGAUCGCUAAAUAAUUAGAUGAGAAUUAUUAAUAAUUUAUGAGCGAUUAUGGAAAUCAAUUGAAAAUAAGAUCAUCAAACAACAACAACAACUACUCAAUGAAAAGUUAAGGUGAUGACCUGAUUGUUUGUAAGCAGAUAAACAAAAUUGAAGGCAACGGAAACUAUUGAUAUUAUUGAUACAUUGUGAAAGUAAAAGGAAAGAUGAAGAGAGAGAGAGAUGAUAACUACUGUAUGAUGCUCCCCUUGUACUUCCGGGAAGAGAGGAAGGUUACAGGGGCUCUCCUCUAUUUUUUUCCCACUUCGGCAGGAGCCAAAUUAGGCCUUGUGAGCGAUGUAAAGAAAGCAAAAAAGUGUCAAUGAAACUCAAUGAUUAAUGUGAAUUUUGUCAAUUAUUGAACAUCUUCACAAGAAUCAGGAAAGAGAAAGCUCUCUCUCUCUCUCUCUCUCUCUCUUUCAUCGUUCUCAUUAUUUCAUCUUUAUCAUCAUCAUAAGCAGCUCACUAGCUCUUUACUCAAUCAACAUCAUUAUUUCAUCAUCAUUAUCAUACUAUUAUAUUUAGUUAAUUUACUAUCUCAUUGUUUAGUAGUAGUAGAAAAAAAUUAAUGGUUGUUUUUUUUUCUUGUUGAUUGUAAAAUCUCAUCUAAUUUUUUUUUUGUUAUAUUAUUAAUACAACAACAUCAUUAGUCAUUUGACAAUGAAAAAUUUAGGCCUGCGUUCAUAAAGAAACAAAAUUAGUUUAAUUAUAUUCUAGUGAAAAGUUAGUUAACUAUUAGAAUCAUUAACUAUUGCGAGGAUUGUUUGUUUUUCAUGUUACUGAUUGUUGGUGAUGAUGAUGUUGAUUAUGACGAUGGUUAAAUCAUAUUUCCCUUGUAAAUGAAUUCUUCUUUAUACUAAUUAAUUUUAUCUUCACUUAUUUUUCCUCUCACGCGCUUCAUCAUCUCAUAGUUUUCCAUCUUUUCAGGCCUUCUUAUUUUUCUUCCAUAACAACAUAGUAAUUGACUCUUCAUCUUAAUUCAAAGUUAAUCAACAUUCCAACGGGAAUCAUCUUAGGCUUUUCUCUCCACCAACCCAAUAAAACGCAUUUUUCCAAGACUUGGUUACAUUUUUGUCGCAAUUAGAUGAUUCCAUCAUCUUCAUCUCCAUCCUCAUCAUUAUCCUCAGAGUACAAUUUAUCAAGGGAUAACACUUAAAGAUUAAGAUGAUAACUUGGGAACAGAGGAUUAAUGGUGGAAAUGAUGAUGAUCUCUUUUCCAGUAAAACUUUUAUCAUCUCUCUCCAACUUUUGUCGACUGUUGAAAAUAUCGUUUAGUCAACUAUUCAUGGUUACUCUUGAUCAUAUGUUUAGAUGAUGUUCCUGAUUACAUCAACAGAACAUUUUUCAUCAUCUCUUUGUACUUAAAUUAAUUGCUGUUGACCCGUCAAACAAAUUAUCAUCCCACCUCAUCCUCAUCCUCAUCAUCAUCAUCAUCAUCUAAUCUUAUUCAUUCUGUUUCUGUCCAUUAGCAACAAUUAAUUAACAUUUUCUUCCUUCUGUUUAAUUUUUACAACCCAAAGGAACCUCAAUAGUUAAAGGUCACAAUUAAUUGUUCCAUUGAUGGUUUACCCCAACUGAACAACAAUUUAAACCAACAACGAGAAGGAAAAAAGAGACCAGAAGCCUUCUGAUCAUGUUAAUCAUCAUCAGCAUCUUUUCUCUUCAUCUUUAAACAUUUAAACUUGGAUAACUCAAUUUAGAAAUUACAACAAUUAAUCAUUUCCAUCAUUAAGCUUCUUGUUUUAACAGAAAAUUUAUAUUUCUCACCAUUUUUUUUGACAAUUUCUAAAAUAUUAAGUAACAAGAAAUCAAAAAAUCUGAAUGAACUUAAGUGUAUUGAUUGUUUCAUUAACAAUUAGAUAAUUACAUUGAAAAUAUUGAAGUGGGAAAAUUAGUAAUAACAAUCAGAUGGAAAAUUAAUCAUUAUUAUUAAUCAUCUUUACCUUUAUUAUUUAUCAAUAUAAAAGGCGAUUGUUAUAAAUAUAGAAACAGAUUCAAGUAAAAAUCAUCUUGUUAUUAAAUAAUUAGAAUGAUUAGAAAAUUAAUAUUUCCUAAUAACAAUUAACUUUGAAUUUCAUUAAAAUUGAAUUCGAGGUUAGUUUAUCUGGAAUACGAUAGAUGGCGUUUCGACUCGACAAUUUACUUAACAAUCGAGAGGGAAACGUGUUUACCUGUGUACCCUGAAUUUUUUUGUUUUAUUUCGUGAAAAUAAUAAUAGUUAAUUAUAUUAAGUGCUCUAAAAUUGAAUAACAAGGUCGUAGAAAUACCCUAAAAAAA